rnacentral:tRNA from 1 species
GCGCUGGUAGUUUAAUGGCAGAACUAAAGGUUUCCAACCUUUAGGCCCGGGUUCGAUUCCCGGCCGGCGCA